GACGAACGCUGGCGGCGUGCUUAACACAUGCAAGUCGAACGGUGAAGCGCCUUCCUUUUUGGUGGGUGUGGAUGAGUGGCGAACGGGUGAGUAACACGUGAGUAACCUGCCCCCUUCUUCUGGAUAACCGCAUGAAGGUGUGGCUAAUACGGGAUAUUCUGGGUCUGUCGCAUGAUGGGUCUGGGAAAGAUAUUGUUUCGGUGGGGGAUGGGCUCGCGGCCUAUCAGCUUGUUGGUGGGGUGAUGGCCUACCAAGGCGGUGACGGGUAGCCGGCCUGAGAGGGCGGACGGUCACACUGGGACUGAGACACGGCCCAGACUCCGACGGGAGGCAGCAGUGGGGAAUAGUGCACAAUGGGCGAAAGCCUGAUGCAGCGACGCCGCGUGAGGGAUGGAGGCCUUCGGGUUGUGAACCUCUUUCGCCAGUGAAGCAGGCCUGCCUCGUUUGUGGGUGGGUUGACGGUAGCUGGAUAAGAAGCGCCGGCUAACUACGUG
rnacentral:rRNA from 1 species